rfam:Myotis brandtii contig236918, whole genome shotgun sequence.
GGCAGUUCUCAGGUGAUGCACCCAGGAAUCGGGCUCCCUCCUCUCUGGUUCCCGGGUGCAUCACCCAAGAACUGCC